AGCAGCUUGUGAAGCCCAGGAAGAAAGAUUUUCAAUUUUAACCAUUGAUACUAGACAGGUGGCUGGUGGACAGUGGUCUACCUUUUAGGGGUGCAGAGAAGAGAAUCAAUCUCAAGGAAUUACUCAACUUAAUUUUUCUCUCACAAAUACCGAUUUCUAUUAUUUCCAACUCAAAAUUUCUCCAUUCUUUUUGUUUCGGUAGCUCGCGACAUCAGAUCAACAUCGACAGCCUCUCGCGAUUGGUUCGAUAUUCCAUUCCCUCUUUCUAUUAUCUACGCAAAGUGAUCCUUAAUUGCAAUACCAGAUAUUUCACUUUUCAAGCAACCACCGACUCAAGCAACGGUAAUGGGUAUAAUCAGGAGUUGCUUCUCUUUCAUUGCAGGGACGGUCUUUGGGAUUUACGUGGCUCAAAGUUAUCAAGUUCCUGACGUCAAGAAGGAAGCUGACACUGCCUUGUUACAGGCAAAGCAAGUUGAGGAAAAAUAUCGCAAGUCCAAGUAAGAACAAGGGUGGUGGUGUGAUCAUGAUAAUUUUUGCUUUCUUGGGUUUUGUCCUGCAUCGUAUAGGAUUAGAUACCUCUAUUAACUACAAAUUGGUGGAAAAUCUUGACACAAGUGUAAUGUGAGAGCUAUAUUCAGAUUCCUAAAUCUUGGAUAAUGCUAGUAGCUUCAAGCCAGAAAUUUGUUUAAUGGUAAAUCGGAAUUGUAUUUAAUAGCCCGGGGAGUGUUAUGCCCGGAGUGACAAUUAACAAAUGUUAUUGUUAAAAUCAUCCUUUAACUGUUGCUCUUGGUGAUGAUAUCUGAUUGGAAUUUGUUCUUUCAAGAUA